rnacentral:rRNA from 1 species
GCGAGUGAAGUGGGAAGAGCUCAAAUUUUAAAUCACCUGGGUUUCCUUGGUGAAUUGUAUUUUGAAGAAAGUGUUUUGACGUUUGGGUUCAAUUUAAAUCCUUUGGGAUAAGGUAUCAUAGAGGGUGAGAAUCCCGUUUAUGAUUGUUCCUUUGAAUGUCUAUAAUUCACUUUCUAAGAGUCGAGUUGUUUGGGAUUGCAGCUCAAAUUGGGUGGUAAAUUUCACCUAAGGCUAAAUAUGUGCAAGAGACCGAUAGCGAACAAGUACCGUGAGGGAAAGAUGAAAAGAACUUUGAAAAGAGAGUUAAAUAGUACGUGAAAUUGUUGAAAGGGAAACGAUUAAAGUCAGUCAUGUUGGUGAGGAAUCAACUUGAUGGUAUGCGAGUUUUCUCGUGUACUUUCUGGUGCACUUCCUUACUUACAGGUUAGCAUCAAUUUUGGUUAUCAUAAAAAAAUUGAGGGAAGGUGGCUUUUCUUCGGAGAAGUGUUAUAGACCUUGAUAAAUGUGGUGACCGGGAUUGAGGAUUGCAGCGGAUACCCUUUGGCUAGUCACCUGACUUCUGAUGGUUGCCCUGUCUUCGAUAGCUUGCUAACGUUGAUGGGAUUCGAUUAUCUAGUUGUUGGGCUGAUCAUAAAUUCGCUAAGGAUGC